CCUCACCUAUUGGCUGAGGGCCCUCAGUCUAGGCAUGGCAACAUCUCCGCUUCGCACAUCUGUCUCUGAGUCCCAGGCUUGCUUGAGCCAGUUUACCCAUUACUUACAGCCGGAGGUGCCACCCAGCUGGAAUGAUCAGAAGGCAGAGUGACCAGAGACAAGAGGGAGGGCUGGCAGCCUCCUGUGGGGAGACGGCGGGGCAGAUGCUGGUGAGCGGAAGCGAAGGUACAGCAACCCAGGCAGCUUCAUCUCCAGGCCUGGCUACUGAAGUGCGGCCUCCAGCAAGGCUCUCCCAAGUCCCAUGGAAGACUCCAGAACAAUGGACGAGGCAGAAAUUGGAGGACCUGGAACACAGAGGGAAAUUGAGGCCAACAGUGGGUGUUUGGACGAACGGAGGCAAGAUGGUGCACUUCCGGGUUCUUCUUCACCACCAACUCUUCCCUCGCGUGGGAAAAGGCAGCCGGCGCCCAGGAAGGUGCAGACCAACUGGGCAUGCGCCAGGUGACGUCAAUCCAAAGAGACCAAGAUUUACCUGGUCGCACCUGCGGAACGCCCCGGACAGCCCGUGCCCCGCCUAUUGCCCUCCCACUCCUAGAAAAGCCGCUCUUGCCAAGGUCCCACGCGGGCCUUCUCACAGCCCCACUCCUGUGGGUAUGUCCGGACUGUGGGAACUCCGUCCGAGAGCCCCACGGGGGACUCUGUCGGCCUCCUUCGCUGGAGGCCGAUAGACAUCUCCCCCACACCUUAGUG
rnacentral:lncRNA from 1 species